UCUCACGCCAACACGCUCCUUUAGCUCGCCACCCUCCCCUAGAGCCACACACUGCAGAGUCAGGGCAGAGACGCGGCAGACGCAGAGGCAGAGACGUGUCUGCGCAAAGCAGAGUGUGAAUGAGAGAAUGUGAAAAAAAAACAAAUAUUAGCUGCGGGACGGUGUGGGUUUAGCCGCUCCAAAUUAAUAUCUUCAUUCUGGCUAUAAUAAUGAUCCAAUUGGAUCCCAAUUUGGUGAUCUGGUAGAUAUGGUCAUUCCCUUUGGAAUGGCGUUUUUGGUUUUCUUUUAUCUUCAAAACUGUAAGUUUGGAAAGUUUUCGCCCUUUUGCGGGGGCGGAAGGGGACGGGCUAAUUUUCGGAAAACACUGGUUUCAGUGUGAGCAUACAGCAGUCUGGAGCCAAAGUUUGGUGGCUCUAGCUCUUAUAGUCUCUGAGAACUAGCCGACAAACAAGACGGACAGACGGACAGACAGACAUGGCUCUAUCGACUCGUCUAUUGAUGCUGAUCAAGAAUAUAUAUACUUUAUGGGAAACGUUUCCUUCUGUGCGUUACAUACAACCGUUGUUCGCACAAAUACAAUGUACCCUAUUUACUCUUCGAGUACCGGGUAUAAAAAGGAUCAUAACAACCUCUGGAAGCGGUUGGGGCUGUAGUUUGGUAUGGAAGGUGGCUUUAGUGCCCAAGAUCUGUUGUGAGGAAGCCCAUGGAAAAGGAAGCACUGAACAACCUUGGUCUUGCUCUAUAGUAUGUUAAAUGUUAGCACAAACCAAAAUGAACUAGAAAUUUUCUGCUAAAUGGGUGCUUA
rnacentral:lncRNA from 1 species